rnacentral:rRNA from 1 species
AGCGAACGCUGGCGGCAGGCCUAACACAUGCAAGUCGAACGGAUCCUUCGGGAUUAGUGGCGGACGGGUGAGUAACACGUGGGAACGUGCCCUUUGGUUCGGAACAACUCAGGGAAACUUGAGCUAAUACCGGAUGUGCCCUUCGGGGGAAAGAUUUAUCGCCAUUGGAGCGGCCCGCGUCUGAUUAGCUAGUUGGUGAGGUAACGGCCCACCAAGGCGACGAUCAGUAGCUGGUCUGAGAGGAUGAUCAGCCACACUGGGACUGAGACACGGCCCAGACUCCUACGGGAGGCAGCAGUGGGGAAUCUUGCGCAAUGGGCGAAAGCCUGACGCAGCCAUGCUGCGUGAAUGAUGAAGGUCUUAGGAUUGUAAAAUUCUUUCAGCGGGGACGAUAAUGACGGUACCCGCAGAAGAAGCUCCGGCUAACUUCGUG